rnacentral:rRNA from 1 species
CUCUUUGAGAUUAAUCCAUUCAAAGUAAAACCUGCUCCAUGAUAAUUUAAAUAGCCGCAGUUUACCUGUGCUAAGGUAGCAUAAUAAUUAGCUUCAUAAUUGGAAGAUAGAAUGAAAGGUUUAACGAAAACCCCCUGUCUCAACAUAAAUAACGAAUUUUAUCUAUCAGUAAAAAAGCUGAUAAAAAAAUAAAGGACGACAAGACCCCGAUAAACUACUCUUUUAGUUGGGGCAACAAAGUAAAUAACCCUUACUAACCAACAAACCUAAAUUGUUUAAAUACGACUAGUUACUACGGGGAUAACAGCGCAAUUUUUUAUUAGAGUUCUUAUCAAAAAAAAAGAUUACGACCUCGAUGUUGAAUUAACCUCUCUUUAUCUAGGCGCAAAAGCUAUAUAAGUACGGUCUGUUCGACCACCUAAGGUU